AUGAUUGUAGCUAACACCCUCUUUAGAAAGAGAGAAUCACAUCUGGUGACUUUUAGUAGUGGCCAACACUCUAGCCAGAUUGAUUUCAUCCUCUCGAGAAGAGAAGAUAGGCGUGCGUGCCUAGACUGUAAGGUGAUACCUGGGGAGAGUGUUGUACCCCAGCAUAAGCUGGUGGUUGCUGACUUCCGCUUUCGAAUUCGUGUCCAGCGGGAUAAGCGUGCCAAGGUCGCUAGAACGAAGUGGUGGAAGCUCAAGGGAGAGGUAGCUCAGGUGUUCAAGGAGAGGGUAUUUAAGGAGGGCCCUUGGGAGGAAGGAGGGGAUGCGGACAAUGUGUGGAUGAAGAUGGUGACUUGCAUUCGUAAGGUGGCCUCGGAGGAGUUUGGAGUGUCCAGGGAAAGGAGAAGCGAAGAUAAGGAUACCUGGUGGUGGAAUGAUGAUGUCCAGAAGGCGCUUAAAGAGAAGAAAGAUUGCUUCAGACGCCUAUACCUGGAUAGGAGUGCAGACAACAUAGAGAAGUACAAGAUGGCGAAGAAGGCCGCAAAGCGAGCUGUUGGUGAAGCAAGGGGUCGGGCAUAUGAGGACCUCUACCAACGGUUAGGCACGAAGGAAGGUGAAAGGGACAUCUAUAAGAUGGCUAAGAUCCGGGAGAGGAAGACGAGGGAUAUUGGCCAAGUCAAAUGCAUCAAGGACGGAGCAGGCCAACUCUUGGUGAAGGACGAAGAGAUUAAGCAUAGAUGGCGGGAGUACUUCGACAAGCUGUUCAAUGGGGAGAAUGAGAGUUCUACCAUUGAACUGAAUGACUCCUUUGAUGAGACCAGCAUGCGUUUUGUGCGGCGCAUCCAGGAGUCUGAGGUGAAGGAGGCUUUAAAAAGGAUGAAAGGAGGCAAGGCGAUGGGCCCUGAUUGUAUCCCCAUUGAGGUGUGGAAAGGUCUCGGGGACAUAGCGAUAGUAUGGCUAACCAAGCUUUUCGCCCUCAUUUUUCGGGCAAACAAGAUGCCAGAAGAAUGGAGACGGAGUAUAUUAGUACCAAUCUUCAAGAACAAGGGGGAUGUUCAGAGUUGUACUAAUUACCGUGGAAUUAAGCUGAUGAGCCAUACAAUGAAGCUAUGGGAGAGAGUCAUUGAGCACCGCUUAAGAAGAAUGACAAGCGUGACCAAAAAUCAGUUUGGUUUCAUGCCUGGGAGGUCGACCAUGGAAGCCAUUUUCUUGGUACGACAACUUAUGGAGAGAUAUAGGGAGCAUAAGAAGGACUUGCAUAUGGUGUUCAUUGACUUGGAGAAGGCCUAUGAUAAGAUACCGCGGAAUGUCAUGUGGUGGGCCUUGGAGAAACACAAAGUCCCAGCAAAGUACAUUACCCUCAUCAAGGACAUGUACAAUAAUGUUGUGACAAGUGUUCGAACAAGUGAUGUCGACACCGAUGACUUCCCAAUUAAGAUAGGACUGCAUCAGGGGUCAGCUUUGAGCCCUUAUCUUUUUGCAUUGGUGAUGGAUGAGGUCACAAGGGGUAUACAAGGAGAUAUCCCAUGGUGUAUGCUCUUUGCGGAUGAUGUGGUGCUAGUUGACGAUAGUCGGACGGGGGUAAAUAGGAAGUUAGUGUUAUGGAGACAAACCUUGGAAUCGAAAGGGUUUAGGCUUAGUAGAACUAAAACCGAGUACAUGAUGUGCGGUUUCAGUACUACUAGCUGUGAGGAGGAGGAGGUUUGCCUUGAUGGCCAGGUGGUACCUCGGAAGGACACCUUUCGGUAUUUGGGGUCAAUGUUGCAGGAGGAUGGGGGUAUUGAUGAAGAUGUGAACCAUCGAAUCAAAGCCGGAUGGAUGAAGUGGCGCCAAGCUUCUGGCAUUCUCUGUGACAAGAGAGUGCCACAAAAGCUAAAAGGCAAGUUCUACAGGACGGCGGUUCGACCCGCAAUGUUGUAUGGCGCGGAGUGUUGGCCGACUAAAAGGCGACAUGUUCAACAGCUAGGUGUGGCGGAGAUGCGUAUGUUGAGAUGGAUGUGUGGCCACACGAGGAAGGAUCAAGUCCGGAAUGAUGAUAUACGAAAUAGAGUUGGGGUAGCACCAAUUGAGGAGAAGCUUGUCCAACAUCGUUUGAGAUGGUUUGGGCAUAUUCAGCGCAGGCCUCCAGAAGCUCCAGUGCAUAGCGGACGGCUAAAGCAUGCGGAGAAUGUCAAGAGAGGGCGGGGUCGACCGAUUUUGACAUGGGAGGAGUCCGUUAAGAGAGACCUGAAGGACUGGAGUAUCGACAAAGAGCUAGCUAUGGACAGGGGUGCGUGGAAGCUUACUAUCCAUGUGCCAGAGCCAUGA
rnacentral:rRNA from 1 species